UAUCCAAAAUAUAAAAAGCUUUCCACAGCUACUGGUCUGCAGCUGUUCUCCUGGUGGCAGUUGUGGCAUUCCUCUGUGGGAAAGAAAUUGUUACAUGAUCAAACACCACUUUCUUAGCAAAAUAGAAAGUGGGCAUAUGUGUGACAAACAUGAGAUUGGUAGAGCGUCGUGGAGGGAAAGAG